rnacentral:rRNA from 1 species
CGGGACGGGUGAGUAACGCGUGGAAAACCUGCCGUAUACUGGGGGAUAACACUUAGAAAUAGGUGCUAAUACCGCAUAAGCGCACAGCUUCGCAUGAAGCGGUGUGAAAAACUCUGGUGGUAUACGAUGGUUCCGCAUCUGAUUAGCUAGUUGGUGGGGUAAUGGCCUACCAAGGCAACGAUCAGUAGCCGGCCUGAGAGGGUGAACGGCCACAUUGGGACUGAGACACGGCCCAAACUCCUACGGGAGGCAGCAG